GGAGCUGUAACCGCUGGCCUGCACCACAGCAGCCACGCCAGAUCCAAACCACAUCUGCAACCUACACCACAGCUCAUGGCAACGCCGGAUCCCCAACCCACUGAGGCCAAGCAUCAAACCUGUGGCCUCAUGGAUACUAUCCGAUUCGUUUCCCCUGAGCCACAAUGGGAACUCCCAAUGAAAGUAUUUCUACCUAGAGUUCCCGUCGUGGCGCAGUGGUUAACGAAUCCGACUAGGAACCAUGAGGUUGCGGAUUCGAUCCCUGGCCUCGCUGCAAAAGCCAAGAACAUCUUUCACAUGCAAAACUGGGAAGCCAGUUCCUUACUCCUUACAAUGGUGUUACAACAAUUCCACGAGGUCAUACACAUGCAGCACCUGAUGCUUUGUAGGGAUUCAACAAAUGUUCAGAUCCUUCCUUCUCUCCUCCGCUUCCCCAACCCCUCUGCCCACUCUCAGCAGUUCCUUGCUUUGGAUUUAGGGUCACAUGUUUAGCACAAUUUGAUCACAUCAAUACACCAUAGGUUCAAUGAGGAGGCCAAUGAUAGCAGAGCCAUGGAUGAAAACGUCUGCUCCUUCACAAUGUGACAUCAGGGACCAACCCUGAAGAAAGAGAUGACCUGAGGGAUGUUUUGGCAAAAGAAGUCAAGAAAGGUACAGAGACAGAGGAAGAGCAUCAGCUUUGAAGCUCAGGCCCCCUGAGGAGGCUCCCAACAGUCAUUCAGUGGCCUCGUCUUAGGCCAAGUCCUUUUGCUCCCUGAUAAGGCGACAACUUGCAAAAACUGCUAGUUCUAUCAACACGAGGUUCAAGUCACCAGGUCAGGCCACUUUGGAAUGCUGCACAAGAGAUGUGGGGAGGGAUUCCGAGGGAACCGGAGUUUUCUUUUGUUUUGUUUUGUUGAGCACCGAUGAGAUGACCUAAUGUAGGAAUGAGUGACAGUCUUUGGGGAAAAUUCUUGGAGAAAUCAUUUAACAUAUUUGGAUGUAGACACAGAAAUAUUGUUGUUCUUGUUUUAAGAGCUCAUACAUCAAAAUGAAAUAGAAAGAUCCUACAUGUAUAUCCUUUUUACUGCUUUUGAAUUAUUUAAUAGUAAAGAUACAUGUUCUGUCCAACUUGCUCAUUUCUUCAACGCUCAGAAUCGAGCACUAGGGAAAGCUUCAUGUCUAUGUGAAAAAUUAAUUGCUACAUGUUAUUUUUCUUACCAUGAAAUUCUAAUCUGUUUACCUUCAAACACUUACUAUUCAUAUAAGCAACGAAGUUGGGUUUUUGUUUUUUUUUUUUAAGAACAAAUGCAAGAGAAGAGUACAGAAUUAAAUAACUGGCUAAAACCUGAAAUGAGACCAAAAUGCCCAUUAAAAUCCUUUCUUGUUAAUUCACAUUUAAUGAGUGGGAAAUCCUUUGCCUAUUAUUAUGCUAUGCAAAUCAACAAGGCAAAAAAGCAGGGAAAAAAAAUUAAGAGCACUGUACU
rnacentral:lncRNA from 1 species